CCCGUGCAGCUGGUGGCGGUAAUGCACCAUUAACAUUGGAUGCCAACCGUCGUUAAACCCCAUCGAAGACGAAGAAGAAGAAGAAGAAGAAGAAGAAGUGGUGGCGGCGGCAAUACACCAGUAUGUGUAGUCUGCCAUAAAACUUUGAAGAAGAAGAAGCGCACGAGCACUUCUCAGGGUGUUUAAUUAUUUUCUUUUAAUGUUUUAUCAAGACAAGCAAGUUGAAAAUGACCUUUGCCUUUCCUCUAUGAAGGAAUGUUUUUAUAGAUGAAGAUCUAGACUAAAACGUUGAAUAGCUAACUGAAUGGAAACUUAAUAGUUGAAUGAAUGAGACUGGCGUCUUGAAAAGAUAGAACAUGUACCUGUUGCACUUCUCUAUUGCCAUCAUUCUUGGGUUUGUGUGGUAUUUAUUUGACCGCGGACAAGUAGCGGCUCAAAUUGUUUUAUGUUUACUAUUUUGGCAAUCAACCCCAAAUGUUUUAAUAAAGACCAGACGGGAAAGCGGCACUCAGACAGACGAUGUGGUUGAAGAAGAUUUAUUCCAGGAAACCACUGACCAUUUAGGUUGUGAUGUGACUGAUACAACAAGCACUAAAGCUGAAACAUCACAGGAGAGACAGUUUCCCCAUGUGAAGAGGUCUCUUCAGCAAGUGUUUGAGUGUGCCUACGCCCAGCUAGUCCUCCCCUGGUACAGCGUCCCUGAGCCCUGUGACAGUCAGCUCCUGCACCAGGUGCUGUGGAGGGAGUUUGACCAAGUCAUCGAUCAAGUCAUCAGCAAAGGCAAAGACUUUGACGUCUGUGCUGCAAGUGUGGGCUGCAUUCGCAUCCUGACCCAGCACCUCCAUAAUGCCAAACAGUCUCAUAGAAAACCAUUGUUCCGCUCUAGAGGAGAGGAGGUUGAAGUUCUCCGAGUGUUCUCUGAAGUACUGGUGCGAAACCUUUUACCCCAGUCCCUAUGGGGACUGGCAGUCAGCCACUGUGCCUUAAAUGAGAUAGUUGCCUUAAAAGCACUGGACCUGCUGGUGCGGUGGCUCUCAGACCCUGACAACCUCAACCAGCUGGUGGUGAGUCAGCUGGAUGGAGCGACCCGUAAGAGCUCUGUGGAGGAGCUGUGUGAGUCCCACUCUGACAGGGCCUCUCCCGUCUCCCUGGAGAGCCAGGCCAGUGGAGCGAUGCAGGAAGAAACAGAGGAUGCUCAAACCAGUGACAGCAAGUCCAAAAAGAAAGCCAACAAAUUGAAGGAAGGCUGGUCUAAAUUCCUUGACAAGAUGAGAUUGAAGAAGGCUAAAAGGGAGAAGAUGAAGAAAAGGGAGCAGGCGCUGGUUGUCACGGCCAUGUCUAUCCAGGGUCGUCCAUCAAACGAAAAUGAAGGGAGUAGCCGGAACCAGCAGGACUCUGACAGCGAGGACAGUGAUCUGGAGAGCUACUGGAACAGUGUACAAGAGGAUAUGAUGGAAUUCAAGCUGUCGUAUGAGCUGUGGCGGGUUGGCCACUGGGCUGUCAGCGUCCCUUGUGUGGAGAGGGAAAACGAGGAACUGUGUUUUACAGUUCACCUGGAGGAGAGGGACAACCCUGAAAAUCUUCACUGGAACGUGAGGAAGACCCAAACAGACAUCAUCCACUUCCGCAACCUAUGGCAGGACUCUGCUACUUUACCCUCCCUAUACAUGUUAGAGGAGAGCACUGAGGUGAACAUCAAUGAGGAUUUCAAAGAAGCCAGGAAGUCCAUCAAGCUCUUCUUACAGGAGCUGGUGUCUGAUGUUCUAGUGGGCCACACUCAGCCAGUAUUUCAGUUUCUGUGUCCUCUGGAAAAGCUGCUGGUUGAAGAGGAUCAUGUGUGGGGCCUCUUCAGUGGCCUGGCCUACUUCCUGACUCCGGGCCAAGAGGAAGAUGAGGACAAGCACAACAGCCUUGGAAGAGGGACCAAACCAGAUGAUUCCAACACAACGGAGGCUGCAGAACCAACUGCAACUGAGAACCUGGAUGGCGAUACAAGGGAUGACCUGGCCCGGGGCCCAUGUAUCAUCAUCUCCCAAUGUGAUGAGUAUUCUCCUUCAGAACCCAGUUCCAUUGAGUGCUGCAGAGAUGACGAGCCCGAACCAAUAGAGAAAUCUGACAUUUUGGUUAAAGCAGACAAAACCGAGGAAUCUGAGAAACCCAUAACUUCCCAACUAAAGAUGGCAAUCAAAGGACUAUCUAGAUCAGAGGAGUGUCUGGCCCAAACAAAAUCAGACACACCUGAAGACCAGACUGACUCUUUCUGUAGACUGCGACGUUCCAGUGAAAAUGGAGGCUCGCAAUUUUACCUCGCUGACAGUCCAUCACAUCCUUUCGGUGGAAAGUCGAAUAAAAAGGAGAAACUCACUUUCAAAAUGUCAGGAGGUAUCCCCAGGAGUAAAGGAAAUGAAAUGGGGAGUCAGCCAAAAUUAGAAGACUCACGGUGUUUGAAAAAGGAACAAUCCAGCUGGGAGCAAAUGGAAGCAACCAAAGCCCUUUUUGAUUUGUUGAAAGCAAUAUCUGGCAAUUCCAUCCUUCUGAACAUAUUUGAUGCGAUUCUGAAACCCGUCAUGCCGAUAUUGAAAAAGAAAGUGAACCGCUUCUUGAAUAAUAUGAACCCAACGGAAGCACAGAUUGCCUCCUAUAUCGACAACCUGCGUGAGAAUCAGUGGCCCGAGGGCUUGCCGGAGAUGACUUGCCCCAUACCCCAUCGCAGCAGUGAGGAGAAGCAUGAGACCAAAGACAGAGCUCACCACCUCAUCAAUGCCAGAUAUUCAAACUAUUUAAUCUUGAAGAAGACAGAUAUGGAGACAGUGUUUAAGCUCUUCCAGGACUGUGAAGAAAACAAGAAGCUGAUCUAUAUGCUGCUUUCAUUCCUGUUGAGAGAGCUUCUGCCAGGUUUUACCAUGACUUGCGAAGCAACUGAAUGUGACGAUGUUGGUGUCGAUGUGCCUUCUUAAUAAAGUCAUUUAGGUUUUUCUUGCUUUUUUUGACAUAUGCCUGUUAUGCUUUCAUUUUUUAAAUUUAACUAGGCAAGUCGGUUAACAAAUUCUUAUUUACAAUGACAGCCUAGGAACAGUGGGUUAACUGCCUUGUUCAGGGGCAGAAGGACUGAUUUUUACCUUGUCAGCUCGGGGAUUCGAUCUAGCAACCUUUCGGUUACUGGCCCAACGCUCUAAACACUAGGCUACCUGCUGCCCCUUUAGAUUGUGUGGUAAGUAUUUUCUGUUUUCUGAAUAUGGAUUCAUCCUAAUCCAAUGGGAUUACUGAAUUUUAACUGUCUUUCUCUAUGUUGAUCAUUAUUAAAGUUCACAGACAAAAAAAAAAGAUAAUUAAAGUGGCAAUAUGUAACUUUUUGGGUGACCUGACUAAAUUUACAUAAAUGUGAGCUAUAGAUUUAUCAUUCUACUUGAAAGCGAAACGAUUUCGGCAUAGUGCAGUUUUAAGAGAUUAAUUUGGAUUUUGUAGCUAUGCUUAAAGAUACCCAAGAUAAUAGAUGCUGGUGGGAGGAGCUAUAACACAGACUGAUUGUAAUGGCUGGAAUGGAAUUCUUGGAACUGAGUCAAAUGUGGUUUCCAUAUGUUUGUUUUUGAUAACUUUCUAAUUAUUCCAUUCCAGCAAUUACAAUGAGCCUAUUCUCCUAUCAAAUUGUAUUAGUCACAUACACGUGUUUAGCAAAUGUUAUUGGGGAUGUAGCGAAAUACUUGUGUUUCUAGCCUCAACAGUGCAGUAAUAUCUAUAAUUAUAUCCUAUAGUUCUUUUUUGAAUGAGAAGGUAUAUGAAAAUACUUAUAUAUUCUUGAUUUGAUAGCACGUAUUGUUGAGCUCAGUGAUCAUGCUCAGCUCAAAGUAACACGUUUAGCGUUCCUCUGCUCUGCUGAAUGCUCUUGCCUGCAAUGCUAUCCUUCAGUUUCCCUCCAACACAUUGGGUGGCAGCAUUGUUGGUGUUUCAGGUUAAUUCAAAAUGGCUGCGCCCUGAGCAUUAGGUAAAGUGUGAAGGUGUCUGCUUUGGGCAUUGAAUAACGGAAAG
ensembl:lncRNA uncharacterized LOC115205254